UGGGGAAUUUUGGACAAUGGGCGAAAGCCUGAUCCAGCAAUGCCGCGUGUGUGAAGAAGGCCUUCGGGUUGUAAAGCACUUUUGUCCGGAAAGAAAUCCUUGGCUCUAAUACAGUCGGGGGAUGACGGUACCGGAAGAAUAAGCACCGGCUAACUACGUGCCAGCAGCCGCGGUAAUACGUAGGGUGCAAGCGUUAAUCGGAAUUACUGGGCGUAAAGCGUGCGCAGGCGGUUUGCUAAGACCGAUGUGAAAUCCCCGGGCUCAACCUGGGAACUGCAUUGGUGACUGGCAGGCUAGAGUAUGGCAGAGGGGGGUAGAAUUCCACGUGUAGCAGUGAAAUGCGUAGAGAUGUGGAGGAAUACCGAUGGCGAAGGCAGCCCCCUGGGCCAAUACUGACGCUCAUGCACGAAAGCGUGGGGAGCAAACAGGAUUAGAUACCCUGGUAGUCCACGCCCUAAACGAUGUCAACUAGUUGUUGGGGAUUCAUUCCUUAGUAACGUAGCUAACGCGUGAAGUUGACCGCCUGGGGAGUACGGUCGCAAGAUUAAAACUCAAGGAAUUGACGGGGUCAUAGCUG
rnacentral:rRNA from 1 species